UACGUAGGGGGCAAGCGUUGUCCGGAUUUACUGGGCGUAAAGGGAGCGUAGGCGGAUAUUUAAGUCAGAUGUGAAAUACCCGAGCUUAACUUGGGUGCUGCAUUUGAAACUGGAUAUCUGGAGUGCAGGAGAGGAAAGUGGAAUUCCUAGUGUAGCGGUGAAAUGCGUAGAGAUUAGGAAGAACACCAGUGGCGAAGGCGACUUUCUGGACUGUAACUGACGCUGAGGCUCGAAAGCGUGGGGAGCAAACAGG
rnacentral:rRNA from 1 species